AUUUGAUUGAUAUCAGAGAAAUUGCUUUUGGUGGACAGGAUCUAUACAUUCGGAUGUCGGCUUCUGAACUAGUUGGUUUAGAAGAUGUGGGAGGUAAUCAGAACAAGAAGAUGAUGGUGAUAAUCAUCCCUUCUGUUAUUGCAACUUCUGGAAUUCUAGCAGUCAGCUAUUACUACUUCAAAAGCCGGAAGAAACUAAAAGAAAAAAAUAAAAUGCAAGACAAAAAUCAAGAAUCAGACGAGGAACUGGAGCUGCCAUUAUUUGACUUUGCCACAAUAUCACAUGCAACCAACAAAUUU